GAGUCCAGGACAUGUCAGGCUGAAGCUUGAAUGCGCCAAGAAACGGAUGAGGGCAGCUUGGUCCCCUCUCCUUCAAAGGAAAUUGGAAAACAGGAAACGCAUUGGGGUGUCGCGUCUGUAACUUAGCAACAACUGAACCGAUGACUUCACAUCCUUUGUCGGCAACAGCUGGGGGUGAAAUGUAAGCGGCUGCUAAAACAACACUGAACUCUCCUGUGGCCCCCCGUCAGCAGCCGCGGGCUCGGAACCCUGAUGACUUCAUAAUAUCUGGGUUCGGAGUCAGAACAGCUGGGAGUCCAUGGUGAUCCAGGCUUGUGUAACCACUUUGUCACCGCCUUUCAAAGACACGCUCACAUUCGGCGCAGAAUAAAUGUUUUCGUCAUGUUUCGCACUAGAACCGAACUAUUUUCAACCUGCCUCCCUUCCUCCGGCCAAACGCCGGUGGUUCCCGGCUGCUGCCUCCGACCGCCUGGCGGAGAACUACGGGUUUAGCUUCUGUCAUUAGCAGCAGCAACAUAGAUAUAGAUACAUAGAUGUUGCCUCGACGGCUGCCGGUUUUUUUUUUAAUGUAAACACGGGAACUUGUCUUGUCUCCAAUCACUCCGUUUUCAACCUGCUUGAUUUGUUACAACUUCAGGCGCGUUUCAUGUCAAAUUCUAAUAAGAACUGAAAGAAUAAGAAACAAAUGUAGCCAGAUCUAUGUUCCACUCAUGUCUAUGUUGAAUUAACCUUCUAGGCUUUUGUGCACAAAGAAUUAUAUUCGGUUGCACUCGCUCACAACAUAGACAUUAAACAGAUGUAAACCUCGAAAUGAUAGAAAACAGUUUUGUAUUUUUUAAAAAAAAGUAAAAAUAAGAAACAUAGGUGCAUUUUAGCACAUUAGAAUAUUAAUGAAAAAAUCAUUUAUUUUUAAAUGUGAACGUUAUAUAUCCACAGAUUACACAUAAACAGACAUAUUUCACAUAUUAGUUAUGUAAAUGUUGAUCAAGCUUAGUCUACCUAAGAUGUAGCAAAAUCCCCAAAUCAGUUUUUUUUUUCUCUUUUACCCGUUAACUUAAUAUGGAAUCAGGAGUGUUGCUGUAACACACGAUGGAUCAGAAGGCUGUGAAAUAAAAUAUUUAAAUUAUAACAGCGGAAGAAACAACGUUUCAGCUGGAAGCUCGUGUUGAAAUUUAUGGGAGCCCGUUUCCGCCACUCUGUAAAAAAAAAAA